rnacentral:misc_RNA from 1 species
AACGCACAUUGCGCCCGUUAGUAUUCUAGCGGGCAUGCCUGUUCGAGCGUCAUUUCAACCCUCAAGCCCCGGUUGCUUGGUGUUGGGAGCCUACGGGUCACCGUAGCUCCCCAAAUUCAGUGGCGGAGUCGGCUUCACACUCUAGGCGUAGUAGAUCCUAUCUCGCCUGCAGCGGAGGCCGGUCCCCUGCCGUAAAACCCCCCCAAUUUCUCCAAAGGUUGACCUCGGAUCAGGUAGGAAUACCCGCUGAACUUAA